UGCAAAAAAUUUCUUUGUUUGUAGUUUCUAUCACUUUGUGUUUCAUCUGUGUAUUGUAAGUAUGAAAAACGCUGCAUGUUGUAAGAGGGUCAAGAAUUUGAGUGAUCUCUGAAUUAGUGGUACGUUUGUUUGCUUUUUAUGAUGCUUUAUUUUAACACAUAUAUUUUAGUAUCAAUUUAUGAUCGAAAAAACUAUUAUAAUUUACUGUUGCGUGCUAGUGUUUACUCAUCUCAUUACUAUUUGAUUGCCAGUUAACUAUAUUAUUACUUUACAAAAUUGUGUUCCUUUUCAGCAUAGUGAAAUUAUUAUUGAGUUGUUUGUUGGUAAUAUGUUCAGCACAGUUUUGCUUGUGUGUUUCUGUUGUUGUUUUUCUGUUUGCUUUCCUUGCAGUGAAAACAGCUUAAGCUAGCAAAGUACAGUAAGUAAGCAGUUUAGUUCUUUGAUAUAAAAUGACCUGUAUUGUUGUUUGCAACAUGCUUUCGAUAUUUGACACACAAUCUGUAGGUAAAAAAAACAGAAAUUGGACUUGAAAAGACAGAAGCAAUGAAAUUCUGGCUGGUACAACAGCAUUUUUGCCUAUUUAUUAUUGAGUGGUUUGUUGGUUAUUUAUUGAGCACAGUUUUGCCUGUGUCUUUUUGUUGUUUUUCUGUUUGCUUUCCUUGCAGUGAAAAAAAGCUUAAGCUAGCAAAGAACAGUAAGUAAGCAGUUUAGUUCUUUGAUAUAAAAUGACCUGUAUUGUUGUUUGCAACAUGCUUUCGAUACUUGACACACAAUCUGUAGGUAAAAGAAACAGAAAGUUGGACUUGAAGAGACAGAAGCAAUAAAAUUCUGGCUUGUA